rnacentral:lncRNA from 1 species
AGACAUGAUUGGCCUGCAUCAUAGGCUUGGUCUGAACCAAUGAGCCAUGUGCCAUAGGCAUCAAUCGUGGGCCAAGUGAGUAACAUAUUGAAUUAUGAGGGUUAUAUCAGAAACCAAACCCUUUUUCUGUUGGCAGAGUGUCACCAAACGACCGAUCAAACUGGUAAUAACAUUUUUGAAAAAUAUGUCCUAGCCGGUCACACAGUUGACAUUGUGGACAAUCACAACCAGCUCAGCCUCGACAACGAUAAAAAGCUUGACCAUGGUGUGAAAAAUUUGACAAAUGGAACUCGAUCGAGGAACUCUAUUCUACCGGAGAAGACCUAGACGGAACAAAUGUUGAACCAGAUUCGCCUAUAUCAAAACCUCAACUACAAAUUGUUUCUGCUGACUCUCACACUCAAGAAGUAUGCUGGUGAGACGAUUCAAUGGAAGAGACUCGGGAGCAUACGAGGCAAAUGUCAAGACUGAAUCAAAUUCCGCCGAAAGACCAACAAAGAUGACGCUCACUUGUUCUUCAUCAGGAACAGCAUGACUAGAAGCACUCAAAAAUUCACAAGUGACCUUGAUUUUGGCCAAAUAUUCCUUCACAAUCAGGUGGCCUUUCUGUAGAGAAUGCAACGAGAGCUUUCUCAACUUUCCCAACUAUUACAAAUUAAAUCACCAAUUUAAUCAUAACAUCCAACGGAGUUUAACAUUAAUUACAUCUCUGUACCAAUUUUAUUUCAACAUCUAUUUUACAUUCUUCGAAUUUAUUGUUUUUCAAAAUGAAAAGUCAAAAUAAUUUGAAUAUGUUGAUGUUGAUUGUUGAUGUAUCAAAAAAUCAAUACCUAAUUUCUAAUUCAUUUCAA